CAGUCGAGCGGAACGAGUUAUCUGAACCUUCGGGGAACGAUAACGGCGUCGAGCGGCGGACGGGUGAGUAAUGCCUAGGAAAUUGCCCUGAUGUGGGGGAUAACCAUUGGAAACGAUGGCUAAUACCGCAUAAUGCCUACGGGCCAAAGAGGGGGACCUUCGGGCCUCUCGCGUCAGGAUAUGCCUAGGUGGGAUUAGCUAGUUGGUGAGGUAAGGGCUCACCAAGGCGACGAUCCCUAGCUGGUCUGAGAGGAUGAUCAGCCACACUGGAACUGAGACACGGUCCAGACUCCUACGGGAGGCAGCAGUGGGGAAUAUUGCACAAUGGGCGCAAGCCUGAUGCAGCCAUGCCGCGUGUGUGAAGAAGGCCUUCGGGUUGUAAAGCACUUUCAGUCGUGAGGAAGGUAGUGUAGUUAAUAGCUGCAUUAUUUGACGUUAGCGACAGAAGAAGCACCGGCUAACUCCGUGCCAGCAGC
rnacentral:rRNA from 3 species